rnacentral:rRNA from 1 species
CUGGCUCAGGAUGAACGCUAGCGACAGGCUUAACACAUGCAAGUCGAGGGGCAGCAUAAAAGUAGCAAUACGUUGGUGGACGACCGGACGCACGGGUGAGUAACGCGUAUGCAACCUACCUAUCGAGAGGGGAAUAACCCGGCGAAAGUCGGACUAAUACCGCAUAAAACAGGGGCACCGCAUGGUGAUAUUUGUUAAAGAAAUUCGCUGAUAGAUGGGCAUGCGUUCCAUUAGGUAGUUGGUGAGGUAACGGCUCACCAAGCCGACGAUGGAUAGGGGAACUGAGAGGUUGGUCCCCCACACUGGUACUGAGACACGGACCAGACUCCUACGGGAGGCAGCAGUGAGGAAUAUUGGUCAAUGGGGCGAGAGCCUGAACCAGCCAAGUCGCGUUGGAAGGAAGAAGGAUCUAUGGUUCGUAAACUUCUUUUGCAGGGGAAUAAAGUGCAGGACGUGUCCUGUUUUGUAUGUACCCUGAGAAUAAGGAUCGGCUAACUCCGUGCCAGCAGCCGC